UGUCUGCCUACAAGCAAUGCACUGAAAUAAUUAGGGUCCCUGCAGUGAGACUCAAGCCAACAUUUCUGGGCAGUUUCUAAAUUUAGAAACCGCCUUUCUGCCUUCACCUCUGCCAGCACCACAGGGAUGGGGAACCUCAGCCUGAAAACAGGCAGGGCAGCUCAGGGUGCUACUGCACCAAACCUGCAGCCAGUCAUUGGACCUUUUGUGAGCAUGGAAACAGCAUUUUCUGUCCUGUCUGUCCAUGCAGUCAGAGGUGAGUCCCAGACAUACUGUGAUAUAACAGCGUGUUCUUCCUUUGGGGCAACAGCCACAGCUGAAUUCAUCAGUAGGAAUGGGAUGUCAGGGACUUCCUCAGGUGGAUUGCACUGGGGAUUCACUUCCAGGUGGGAUGCUGUGUCCUGUCACAUUGGGUGCUAACGAUGCCAUUUACACCUACUCCCGCUCUAACCUGAUCACCUCUCCUCAGAUCCAGCUGCUGGCCCUUUGAAGCUCUUGGCCAAAAAGAUUUGGCUCUGUGGUACAAUAUUGCCAAGCUGCUGCAUGAGAAAUGAACCGCACGUAGAGCGUAUGGUUCUGGCAUGCAUCUGUCAACAUAGCUGGCAUAGCUACAUGGGAAUAUGAUGGGAAAAGUCUUGGCUAGAAAAUCUUUCUGCACGCAUAUGAUGAGAGAGAAGGGAAAGACAAUGUUGGAAGAGGACAACUUGGUCCCAGAAGUCAGCAAGUCUCCAAUCAGUACAUCUUACAGCAGUGGCAGCUGCCUCUUCUCCAGUGGUAAGGGGAGAGUGCCCCUGGGAGGACGGCAUUUCAAGGAGAACAGAUUGCAGUUAGCACAGAAAACUUUGCAGAGCCACCUCAGUGAACAUCAGGGACAAAGUGCUGAGGUCCUGCUCCCUGCGGGGUCAGCUUCCACCAACCUCCUCUUUGGUGCUGAACAAAAAGGAGGAAUCGCAGGACGAGAAUGUUGGCAAGAUGAAGAGCAGAUCUCUGGAAGGGUUUGUUCUGGUCUUACUCAUAAGUGGAUCUUUCUUGUCACCCAUUAAUAAAUGGUUUGAUUCAUUUAUACCAUAUUUUGUUUUGGUAAUGACAGUCUGGGAGUUGUUGGAAACCCUUCAAAUACAGAAAUCAUCUUACUGGGAGAGGCAGAAUCAUGCAUUUGUUUUUCCUAAAUUAACAUUCAAAACCAAAUCACCAGAUUUGAUGGGAAUUCCUUCUGAAGCUUCAUGUA